UUAGGCUGGUCCUCACUGCUCGAGAGGGCCUUGCUCUGCCGAGUUAACCCGGGCAGACUGACCCUUCCUCCCUCACACACUGGGCCUGUGUGGAUUUAUUCCAUACACUACAAUGCUUUUUGACCCUUUUUUGAUCACUUCUGGAUGGACGGAGGAAGUGUGUGGAGGGGAGCUCCAAGGGGGCGUGGGAUGGAGGACGUUGACAAGCUGCCCAUGGCCCUGGGGUCACAUCUGCAGUUUCUGUAGUGUCCCAGCAGUCCCCUGGGAGGCCUUGGGAUGGAGAACUGGGUGGACGGGGCAGCAGUGACAUGCCCUCCCCUUUAGCAUUGUGGUUCCUGUGAGUGGGUGACCAGCUUAUUCAGGGUUGGGGGGUGUUCAUCACCCUGAUCUGUAGAAUCUUACUGGCCUGUAAAUAUGACUGCAGGCUCAUGGGGGCCUAAGAAAGGGAGGCACAGGGCAGGGCUUAGGGAUUCUGCCCCCUCCCAGCCCCGGGGAGGAGGUGCUACCUGUGUGGCCGUGGCCAGGGAGAGCCCUAGGUUGGCCUGGCUGGAUCUGCCAAGUGGUCCUGUGAAGUCCUAGGCAGGUCCAGCUAGCCUGUUGAAGGGGCCAUGGCCAGUCCACGCUGGCGGAACCCUUUUGUCUGAAAAGGGCACUGUGCAAGGGGGGCUGGGAGCCCAUGGCUUCAGGGAUCCGCCCCUUGUGUCCUCCUCCACUGCCGCCAGUCGGCCAGCCCCCCAGGCUCUGCACAGCUGGUGGCCUCUAGCUCACAUCUGGGCAGCUGCGGCAGAGUAUGAACGGCUCGCAGGUGGGCAACGCGGUCCCGGCCUCCUGGCUGACCUGCUGCAACCAGUCGGGGGCGCCACCUCCGGAGCUUCCCGAGGGGCCUCGCACGCUGCAGGUGGCUGUGCUGGGCGUGCUGUCGCUGCUGGUGCUCUGCGGGGUCCUGUUCCUGGGUGGCAGCCUUCUCCUGCGUGCGCAGGGCCUUGCCACACUGCUGGCCCAGGAGCAGCGUGCCUCCCGUGAGUCCCAGCCCAGUGACACCAGCGUGGGCGACAAUUCCUCCUAGGUGCCCGGCUGUGCUGCCCUGGGCGGUGGCAGCUUCCAGGCGGCCCGAAGCCAGGGCCCUGCACCGAUGGCCUCGGCAGAGAAGGGAGAUUCGUGACCUGAGCAAACACAGGUUCUGAGCCCUGUGUGGUCUGCCGCCGGACAUCGCACACUUUGCUGCAUGCAUGCUGCAGCCAACAGGCCAGACCGUGACGAGACCUCCACCUGAGACUGCGUGCUGCAGCUGACCAGCUCCUGAGAAGCUCGCGGCAAUGGGUGCAAGUGGGCCACGUUCCAAUGAGGAUUAAACCGGCCCAGCUACCCAGCUGCCCUGGAGGGCUGCUGCGGGACCUGGGCACUCGAUGCCCCUAGGCUUGCCACGUAGCUUCUGUCACUGGGUCUUGGAAAGUGCAGGCACGGCCAUGGUCUGAGGGGUCCGUGGCCUGUCCUAGCGAGGGCUGGGAGACCCCAGCACCCAACAGUGCCCCAUUGCUUUC